UAAGGAAUAUUGGACAAUGGUGGCAACACUGAUCCAGCCAUGCCGCGUGCAGGAUGAAGGUUCUAUGAAUCGUAAACUGCUUUUGUACGAGAAAAAACCUUCGAACGUGUUCGAAGCUGAUUGUAUCGUAAGAAUAAGGAUCGGCUAACUUCGUGCCAGCAGCCGCGGUAAGACGAAGGAUCCAAGCGUUAUCCGGAUUUAUUGGGUUUAAAGGGUGCGUAGGCGGGUUGAUAAGUCAGUGGUGAAAUCCUAUCGCUUAACGAUGGAACUGCCAUUGAUACUGUCAAUCUUGAGUAUGUUUGAAGUGGGCGGAAUGUAUCGUGUAGCGGUGAAAUGCUUAGAUAUGAUACAGAACACCAAUUGCGAAGGCAGCUCACUAAACCAUAACUGACGCUGAGGC
rnacentral:rRNA from 1 species